CCUACGGGCUGCAGCAGUGGGGAAUAUUGCACAAUGGGCGCAAGCCUGAUGCAGCCAUGCCGCGUGUAUGAAGAAGGCCUUCGGGUUGUAAAGUACUUUCAGCGGGGAGGAAGGCAAUAAGGUUAAUAACCUUGUCGAUUGACGUUACCCGCAGAAGAAGCACCGGCUAACUCCGUGCCAGCAGCCGCGGUAAUACGGAGGGUGGAAGUGUUAAUCGGAAUUACUGGGCGUAAAGCGCACGCAGGCGGUCUGUCAAGUCGGAUGUGAAAUCCCCGGGCUCAACCUGGGAACUGCAUUCGAAACUGGCAGGCUAGAGUCUUGUAGAGGGGGGUAGAAUUCCAGGUGUAGCGGUGAAAUGCGUAGAGAUCUGGAGGAAUACCGGUGGCGAAGGCGGCCCCCUGGACAAAGGCUGACGCUCAGGUGCGAAAGCGUGGGGAGCAAACAGGAUUAGAUACCCUUGUAGUC
rnacentral:rRNA from 1 species